rnacentral:rRNA from 1 species
CCUCAAGAUGAGAUAUCCCAUUCGGAAGAAGUAAGACCCCUUGAAGACGACGAGGUAGAUAGGGCAGAGGUGGAAGUGCAGUAAUGUAUGGAGCUGACUGUUACUAAUCGGUCGAGGGUUUGACCUG